UCAAGGUAACUUGAAUCAUAGUACAACAAUGAACCCGAGUGUUAUGUUUAUUUAUGUAUUCUCGAACUACUUAUGAGACUAUUUUUUGUAAACAUGAUCAAUCCGGUGUGUCAUUUAAAUAGAUAAAAAUCUUGUUGUUAAAUUUCCAUGUGACAUGAGUAGUAUAAAUACACUGUGUUUUUACACGGUUGAUUCAGACUUAUAUUUAAACCUUGAAGUUGUAAACAUAAUAAGGAUAUAGCCUAAGCUAACAUGGAUACUAAAUGUUUGAUGGUGCUUUUUAUGUUCUUGUAUAUUGUAUUUGUUUCAACAAUUGAGGCAGUGCACUACAUUACCAAACCAUUUCAGUUUAUUGGAUCAUGUUAUUGUAAAGGAAAGCGGGUGAUCGGACAAAAUACUGGAGAAAUGGACUGAAGAAUUGCCUUAAUUGGGAGAAAAUAAUAAGGAUACAUAAUACCAGGAAUGAACAAUUCGUGCUGAGACAAAUCGGAGAUGAAUAAUAAAUAUUCUCUGAUUCUCUGGACAUAUUAUGAUCCCGUACUGAUUGCAUGGUCAAUCGUGCGGCGAAGAAGAAAUGCAAUAACGAUAAGCUGAAAGGAGUAUUCGUGGUCAACAGUGUAUGAUUCGAUAGUUUGUUGACAAAAUUAAUGGACAUAAGCAUAGAUGUAUAUAUAAAAAAAAAAUACAUUUGCAGUAAAGAAAAUCGUAAAUAAAACAUAUCUGUAUUAAUGUUGUUAGUUGUUUUCAAUAUAUACAGCAAUUCAAUCAUAUACAAAUGCGUGGGAAGUUUUAAUGUUAUUUUUUUGGCCAAGAUAUUAAGCGUUUAACUUCCUCAUAACUGUUUUUGAUCGUGUUGACUUCUAUAACGCUUUCGUUCUAUGUAUAUUAAACAUCAAUACUUUUUUA